rnacentral:rRNA from 1 species
CCUACGGGAGGCAGCAGUGGGGAAUAUUGGGCAAUGGAGGAAACUCUGACCCAGCGACGCCGCGUGCGGGAUGAAGGCCUUCGGGUUGUAAACCGCUUUCAGCAGGGAAGAAGCGAAAGUGACGGUACCUGCAGAAGAAGCACCGGCUAACUAUGUGCCAGCAGCCGCGGUAAUACAUAGGGUGCAAGCGUUGUCCGGAAUUAUUGGGCGUAAAGAGCUCGUAGGUGGUUCGUCACGUCGGAUGUGAAAAUCUGGGGCUUAACCCCAGACCUGCAUUCGAUACGGGCGAGCUUGAGUAUGGUAGGGGAGUCUGGAAUUCCUGGUGUAGCGGUGGAAUGCGCAGAUAUCAGGAGGAACACCAAUGGCGAAGGCAGGACUCUGGGCCAUUACUGACACUGAGGAGCGAAAGCGUGGGGAGCGAACAGGAUUAGAUACCCUGGUAGUCCACGCCGUAAACGGUGGGCACUAGUUGUGGGGACCUUCCGUACGUCGUCUGCGACGCAGCUACGCAUUAAGUCGCCCGCCGUCGGGAGGUACGAGUCGCGAAGAAUUAAAACUUAAAAUUAAGUAAGUUAGUACGGCGUGAGACGUGCCGACGGACGACGACGAGGGAGGAGG